AUUGAACGCUGGCGGCAUGCCUUACACAUGCAAGUCGAACGGCAGCACGGGUGCUUGCACCUGGUGGCGAGUGGCGAACGGGUGAGUAAUACAUCGGAACAUGUCCUGUAGUGGGGGAUAGCCCGGCGAAAGCCGGAUUAAUACCGCAUACGAUCUACGGAUGAAAGCGGGGGACCUUCGGGCCUCGCGCUAUAGGGUUGGCCGAUGGCUGAUUAGCUCGUUGGUGGGGUAAAGGCCUACCAAGGGGACGAUCAGGAGCUGGUCUGAGAGGACGACCAGCCACACUGGGACUGAGACACGGCCCAGACGCCUACGGGAGGGCGCAGUGGGGAAUUUUGGACAAAGGGCGAAAGCCUGGUCCAGCAAUGCCGCGUGUGUGAAGAAGGCCUUCGGGGUGUAAAGCACUUUUGUCCGGAAAGAAAUCCUUGGCCCUAAUACGGUCGGGGGAUGACGGUACCGGAAGAAUAAGCACCGGCUAACUACGUG
rnacentral:rRNA from 1 species